GAUGAACGCUGGCGGCGUGCCUAAUACAUGCAAGUCGAGCGAACAGAUGAGGAGCUUGCUCCUCUGACGUUAGCGGCGGACGGGUGAGUAACACGUGGAUAACCUACCUAUAAGACUGGGAUAACUUCGGGAAACCGGAGCUAAUACCGGAUAAUAUAUUGAACCGCAUGGUUCAAUAGUGAAAGACGGUUUUGCUGUCACUUAUAGAUGGAUCCGCGCCGCAUUAGCUAGUUGGUAAGGUAACGGCUUACCAAGGCAACGAUGCGUAGCCGACCUGAGAGGGUGAUCGGCCACACUGGAACUGAGACACGGUCCAGACUCCUACGGGAGGCAGCAGUAGGGAAUCUUCCGCAAUGGGCGAAAGCCUGACGGAGCAACGCCGCGUGAGUGAUGGAGGUCUUCGGAUCGUAAAACUCUGUUAUUAGGGAAGAACAAAUGUGUAAGUAACUAUGCACGUCUUGACGGUACCUGAUCAGAAAGCCACGGCUAACUACGUG
rnacentral:rRNA from 1 species